rnacentral:rRNA from 1 species
UCCAGGCCCUACGGGGCGCAGCAGGCGCGAAACCUUCGCAAUGCGCGAAAGCGCGACGAGGGGAGCCCGAGUGCCCUUCCUUCGGGGAGGGCUUUUCUGGAGCCUAAAAAGCUCCAGGAAUAAGGGCUGGGCAAGACGGGUGCCAGCCGCCGCGGUAAUACCCGCAGCUCAAGUGGUGGCCACUAUUAUUGAGCCUAAAGCGUCCGUAGCCGGACCCGUAAAUCCCUGGGUAAAUCCUGGCGCUCAACGUCAGGAAUUCCGGGGAGACUGCGGGUCUUGGGACCGGGAGAGGCCGGAGGUACUCCCGGGGUAGCGGUGAAAUGCUGUAAUCCUGGGGGGACCACCUGUGGCGAAAGCGUCCGGCUUGAACGGCUCCGACGGUGAGGGACGAAGGCCAGGGGAGCAAACCGGAUUAGAUACCCGGGUAGUCCUGGCUGUAAACGCUGCCCGCUUGGUGUUGCCGGUCUCUCGGGGGCCGGCAGUGCCGGAGCGAAGGUGUUAAGCGGGCCGCUUGGGAAGUACGGCCGCAAGGCUGAAACUUAAAGGAAUUGGCGGGAGAGCACUGCAACGGGAGGAGCGUGCGGUUUAAUUGGAUUCAACGCCGGAAAACUCACCGGGGGCGACCGGCACAUGUGGGCCAGGCUGACGACCUUGCCCGAACAAGAGCCGGAGAGGUGGUGCAUGGCCAUCGUCAGCUCGUACCAUAGGGCGUUCUCUUAAGUGAGAUAACGAGCGAGACCCCCAUCCCCAGUUGCCACCUGUCCCUCCGGGGGCAGAGCACACUGGGGAGACCGCCAGCGCUAAGCUGGAGGAAGGUGGGGUCAACGGUAGGUCAGUACGCCCCGAAUCCCCCGGGCUACACGCGCGCUACAAAGGGCGGGACAAUGGGCUGCGACUCCGAAAGGGGGAGCUAAUCCCGAAACCCGUCCGUAGUUCAGAUCGAGGGCUGUAACUCGCCCUCGUGAAGCUGGAUUCCGUAGUAAUCGCGGGUCAACAUCCCGCGGUGAAUGCGCCCCUGCUCUUUGCACACACCGCCCGUC